GGACAAUUAGCUCAGUGGUUUAGAGCACUGCCUUCACACGGCAGGGGUCACAAGUUCAAAUCUUGUAUUGUCCA
rnacentral:tRNA from 1 species